UCCUCCACCAAAAGUCCACCACAGUGAUUCAAACUAACUGAGUCGUCGUACAAAAACCUCUGACUGCAGAGAGACACGCUCUCUGACUUUGAACACAACAAACUCAACACAGUCUGACUGGAAAACACAACAGAUUGAUGUGAAAAAGGUUCUUACCGAAAUAAUAAUGCAAGUUUUUAUUUUCUUCAGCUUUUAUCUUAUUUUCUACUUAAGUUCUUAUUUUGCAGAUGUAAAGGUAUUCUAAUACGUACUAGUAGUGAAAAACAAGCAAAAAUAUCAAUCAAUAUUUUGGAAUCCCAUCUGGAAUGAUUGAUUGAUCCAUUGAUGUGAAUCCUGAUGACAGAGAUCCAUGUUCCUGUUGGAGUCAGUGGUUGCAUUUCCAUAGAAACACUUUGCAUCAGCAGCUCCAUGCUCCAGUGCUCUGGGAGACUUUAUAGUCCUGAGAGUUGAAGACUGGAUGACUGACAGCUGUCCUUCAUCACAGCAGAAGACACAGAAAUCCUCCUCCUCCUCAGUCAAACCAUGACUUUGAUCUGCGUCCUCAUCUGGACUCUCCUCUGCUUCAUUCAGGGUUCUGUUGGACAAAAUGUUGUUUUGACUCAGCCAGCAGCUAAAUCAGUGCAGCUCAAUCAAAAGGUCACUAUUGACUGUAAGGCCAGUC